UACAGAGGUGGCGAGCGUUGUUCGGAUUUACUGGGCGUAAAGGGUGCGUAGGCGGUUCUGUGUGUCGGACGUGAAAUCCCACUGCUCAACGGUGGAACUGCAUUCGAAACUGCGGAACUCGAGUUCAGGAGAGGAGAGCGGAAUUCUUGGUGUAGCGGUGAAAUGCGUUGAUAUCAAGAAGAACACCAGUGGCGAAGGCGGCUCUCUGGAAUGUAACUGACGCUGAGGCACGAAAGUUGGGGGAG
rnacentral:rRNA from 1 species